rnacentral:tRNA from 1 species
ACUUUAGUAGUUUAAUUAAAAUAUUGGUUUGUGGCAUCAAUGAUGUAGUUUUUACCUUGAGUU